rnacentral:rRNA from 1 species
GACGAACGCUGGCGGCGUGCUUAACACAUGCAAGUCGAACGCUGAAGCUCAGCUUGCUGGGUGGAUGAGUGGCGAACGGGUGAGUAACACGUGAGUAACCUGCCCUCUUCUUUGGGAUAACGCCCGGAAACGGGUGCUAAUACUGGAUAUUCACUGAUUCUCGCAUGGGGGUUGGUGGAAAGGUUUUUUCUGGUGGGGGAUGGGCUCGCGGCCUAUCAGCUUGUUGGUGGGGUGAUGGCCUACCAAGGCUUUGACGGGUAGCCGGCCUGAGAGGGUGACCGGUCACAUUGGGACUGAGAUACGGCCCAGACUCCUACGGGAGGCAGCAGUGGGGAAGAUUGCACAAUGGGCGAAAGCCUGAUGCAGCGACGCCGCGUGAGGGAUGGAGGCCUUCGGGUUGUAAACCUCUUUCGCUCAUGGUCAAGCCGCAGCUUUGGGUUGUGGUGAGGGUAGUGGGUAAAGAAGCGCCGGCUAACUACGUG